rnacentral:lncRNA from 1 species
GGCCAGCAGUGAAGGCCCAAAUAUUGGCAGAUUUUAUAGUGGAGUGUACUAUCUCAGAGGAGGUCGAACUUGAACAAGGUGAAAUUGACGGCCUGGAGUCCCGACCGAGCUCCCCCAAAGAAGAAGCAGGUCCCUCUAGUUGCUUUUGGACCCUCUACGUGGAUGGAUCUUCUAACAUGUCAGGUGCAGACGCGGGCCUGAUCUUGAUCAGUCCAGAGGGAGUCAUCGC